ensembl:snRNA U6 U6 spliceosomal RNA
GUGCUUGCUUUGGCAGCACAUAUACUAAAAUUGGAACAAUACAGAGAAGAUUAGUAUGAUCACAGUGCAAGGAUGACAUGCAAAUUUGUGAAGUAUUCCAUAAUUUU